rnacentral:lncRNA from 10 species
CCAAUGUGCUGGGAUUACAGGUGUGAGCCACCACACCCGGCCGGUUUUAAAAGUGUUUGGAAGUUUCUCCUUCACGGCAUUUCUCUCCUCUCCCCUGCCGCCAUAUGAGGAAGGUCCUUGCUUCCCCUUCACCCUCUGCCAUGAUUGUAAGUUUCCUGAGGCCUCCCCAGCCAUGCGGAACUGUGAGUCCAUUAAACCUCUUUCCUUUAUAAAUUAGCUAGUCUCCAGCAGUUCUUUAUAGCAGUGUGAAAACUACUAACACACUCAUUUAAUUCUUGCAACAGCCCUGUGGGGCAGGGUUGCCAUUGUUGCUGCUCUUUAAAAAAAAAAAAAAAAAAAAAAAUUUUAAAUUAAUUUUUAAAUCAACAAAAAUUGUAUAUAUUUAUGAUGUAUCAUAUGAGGUUUUAAUAUAUGUAUAGAUGGUGGAAUAGCUAAAACUAGUUUGCUUCCACCUUUUGGGUAUUGUGAAUAAUGCUGCUGUGAACACAGGUGUACAAAUAUCUCUUUAAGACCCCACUUUCAGUUCUUUUGGGUACAUUACCCAGAAGUGGAAUUUUUGGCUCAUAAGGUAGUUGUGUGUUUAAUUUUUUUGGGAACUUCUAUACGGUCUUCCUUAAGGGCUGUACUGAUUUACAUUGCUGCUGUCAUUAAUAGAUGAGGAAACUGAGGCUCUGAACAUUUGAUAAGUGUCCCAACACUUGGUAGGUGGCAGGGUUACCAGUUACUUGGCUUGGUAAGUAACAGGGUUACCAGUCACAGAGCUGGGAGUGUAGGGCUGGAAUUUUAAGCCAUGAUUUUCCCUGUGUGAGGAUGCUUUUCUGGAGUUGAGUGCAGACUUGCACAGAAAUGACUAUCACUCAUAGCAAAAUGUGGUGAGUGGUCACUGUGGGACAGGGUCGCAUGAAUGGCUAAGGAAUUUCACAACAGGAAGGUAUGCUUCCAGGUCAUGGACUGUGGUUUGCCAUGCCGGGACCAGCUGACAGGCUCACAAGAGCUGACAGUUAGCAACUGUUCCUCUGGGAUUAUUUGCACCAUGGAAAUAACGCAAUUGCUACAUACCAGGGAUUCUUUUUUUUUUUUUUUCUUUUAACUAGCAUACUUCUGCUUGCAGAUGAGAACAGUGAGAGAGAGAAAGCUUUGCAGAGCAGGACCUACGUGAGCUGAAUUUGAAAGGAUGUAGUAUAGGAUUUGGACUCAUACAUCUUGGGCAGGGGCAUCCCUAAGGAAAUAGCAAAGGCAAGGAUGCUGGGGAGUGAAAGGUUGCCAUAGGAAAUAGUGGGGAUCUCUGGCAGGAGGAGCAGAGAACAAGAAACGAAGGUAUAUUGGCCAGGCGUG